rnacentral:rRNA from 1 species
AGAGUUUGAUCAUGGCUCAGGAUGAACGCUGGCGGCGUGCCUAACACAUGCAAGUCGAGCGAUCUUCUUCGGAAGAGAGCGGCGGACGGGUGAGUAACGCGUGGGUAACCUGCCUCAUACACAUGGAUAACAUACCGAAAGGUAUGCUAAUACAAGAUGAUAUAAGAGAUUCGCAUGGAUUUCUUAUCAAAGCUCCGGCGGUAUGAGAUGGACCCGCGUCUGAUUAGCUAGUUGGUAAGGUAAUGGCUUACCAAGGCGACGAUCAGUAGCCGACCUGAGAGGGUGAUCGGCCACAUUGGAACUGAGACACGGUCCAAACUCCUACGGGAGGCAGCAGUGGGGAAUAUUGCACAAUGGGCGAAAGCCUGAUGCAGCAACGCCGCGUGAGCGAUGAAGGCCUUCGGGUCGUAAAGCUCUGUCCUCAAGGAAGAUAAUGACGGUACUUGAGGAGGAAGCCCGGCUAACUACGUG